rnacentral:rRNA from 1 species
UACGGGGGGGGCAAGCGUUGUUCGGAAUUACUGGGCGUAAAGGGUUUAUAGGUGGCUCGCUAAGUCAGACGUGAAAUCCCUCAGCUUAACUGGGGAACUGCGUCUGAGACUGGUGACAGCUUGAGUGAGGCAUGGAGGAGGAACGCGGAAUUCCAGGUGUAGCGGUGAAAUGCGUAGAUAUCGUGGAGGAAUACCGGUGGCGAAGGCGGCAUCCUGGACCGGCAUUGACGCUGAGGAGCGAAAGCCAGGGGAGCAAACGGG